UGAAUAAAAAUAAAAUUGGACAACAAACUUUGCUGAGACAAAUUACAGGGUAGGGUAUAGCAUUCAAUAUUUACAUUGUAGCUACAAUGUAAAUAUUGUUUACUUCGGACAAUGUUGUGAGCUCUGCGCUAUCAUUCUUAUAAAAUUUCUCUGACUAACAAGACAUGGAAGAAGACCGAAGUCGUGAUGAACGAGAUUUGGAAAGUAGUGUUAGAGCAUUUUAUUGGGGCAAAUGGAUGUCUAAGUGGAUCGGUGUUUGGCCAUUGGCACCAAAUUUCUAUCUAUUUAAUGUGACAUUUGCAUACUUUACUGCCGUAAUGUUACUGGAGUAUGUCGAUCUUUUUUUCUGUUUGCCAAAUUUUGAAAAAGUACUCGACAACCUUACAGAAAGUUUGUCCUUUACAAUAAUUUAUGUGCGCACAUUUACGCUGAGGGUGUACAAUUACAAGCUUGGCAAUGCGAUACGAGAAUGUUUGAAGGAUUCAAGUGUUAGUGCAUUUGCAAACUCGAAAGAAAUUGAUAUUUUUGUGCAAUAUACCAAAGAGGGUAAAUUUUUUGCUAAAUUCGUCAUAGCUUUUACUGCAAUGACUGAAGCUUCUUGGUAUUUACGACCAAUCACGUCGCAUACAGCAAUACGAGUGAUAGCUGAUAAUGAGACAUUAAAUAAUGUGACGUUAAAGUUCAGUCUGCCGUUUCAUUUUUAUGUUUUUUACGAAAUAAAUAGCAUUAAAACUUACGCACUUACGUAUCUUUCACAUGGUCCAUUUGUACCGAUCAAUGGUUUUGGUUCCGCUAGUGCUAAUUGUUUUUUGAUAGCACUUUCAUUCCACAUUAGCGGUCGGCUGGCUGUUUUAGCUGAAAGAAUAAAUAGACUCAAUGAUAAUCCUGAUCUGUAUAAAAGAAAAUUGAAGUUAAUUAUUGAUGAACACAUUCGACUUCUGAGAAUGGUAGAAGAUGUUCAGAUUUCUUUUGGUGUUAAUUUAUUAGUACAUUUAUUGAACGGCACAAUACUUUUGUGUAUUGUUGGAUACCAAAUACUGUUGACGCUUACAGUCGGACCAAGAACAAAUAUAAUGCCUCUUAUUAUUUAUAUAAUGACCUUGUAUAUGUUGAUGUCAAUUGUCUGUAUUCUCAGCGAAAAUUUAAUUGCUGAGAGCAAUAAAGUUUGCGAAGCGUUUUGGAAUUGCGGUUGGUAUGAUAUGCCGCGAGAUUGUGUCAAAGAUAUUAUUUAUUGUAUAAAACGUUCUCAGAAACCGCUAUCAUUAAAAGCUGGCGCGUUUAUUACUCUCGAGAAUAGUACAUUAACGGAGGUAACGAAAACGGCGAUGGGAUAUUUGUCUGUGCUCAGAAAUUUUUUGAUCGCGAAUCAAUCUUUAAAUUAAAAAAUAUCCGGCUCCAAAUAAAACUACUGUAUGCGAAAUAAAUAUAUUAAUUUUUUUAUCUUCAAUGUCUAUAAUCAUAUUUGUUCUCUAAAUAGAAAACCACCGGAUUGUGGUUAUUCUCUAAAUAGAUAUACCACCAGAUUGUAUCAGUGACGUCUAUUAUUGCAUUGCCCGAUCUCAAAAACCUUUGGCCCUAACUGCUGGUAAAUUUUUGACUUUCGGCUACGGUACAAUAACAGACGUCACUCGAACUGCCUUCAGAUAUUUGUCAGUGUUAAGAAAUUUUUUGCUCCUCGAGGAAUGAAUUUAAUGAAAAUGUUAUAAUCCAAUGCACUAAUAAUGUUAUGUACUUGUUGAAAUUAAAAUAAAUAUUUAGAAUAAAAAAAAAAG